rnacentral:rRNA from 1 species
CUACGGGUGGCUGCAGUAGGGAAUAUUGGACAAUGGGCGAAAGCCUGAUCCAGCAACACCGCGUGCACGAUGACGGCCUUCGGGUUGUAAAGUGCUUUUAGAGGAGAUGAGAAAGGACAGUAUCCUCUGAAUAAGCCUCGGCGAACUACGUGCCAGCAGCCGCGGUAAAACGUAGGAGGCAAGCGUUAUCCGGAUUUAUUGGGCGUAAAGCGCGUGCAGGCGGUCUAACAAGUUGGAUGUGAAAGCUCCCGGCUCAACUGGGAGAGGUCGUUCAAUACUGUUAGACUAGAGAAUAGGAGAGGGAGGUGGAAUUCCGGGUGUAGUGGUGAAAUGCGUAGAUAUCCGGAGGAACACCAGUGGCGAAAGCGGCCUCCUGGACUAUUUCUGACGCUAAGACGCGAAAGCUAGGGUAGCAAACGGGAUUAGAUACCCGCGUAGUC